rnacentral:rRNA from 1 species
UACAGAGGUGGCAAGCGUUGUUCGGAAUUACUGGGCGUAAAGGGCGCGUAGGCGGUCAGGUCAGUCCCGUGUGAAAUCCCUCGGCUCAACUGAGGAACUGCACGGGAAACUGCCUGGCUUGAGUUCGGGAGAGGGAAGCGGAAUUCCGGGUGUAGCGGUGAAAUGCGUAGAUAUCCGGAGGAACACCGGUGGCGAAGGCGGCUUCCUGGACCGGUAUUGACGCUGAGGCGCGAAAUCUAGGGGAGCAAACGGG